rnacentral:rRNA from 1 species
GUGCCAGCAGCCGCGGUAAUACGUAGGUGGCAAGCGUUAUCCGGAUUUAUUGGGCGUAAAGAGAGUGCAGGCGGUUUUCUAAGUCUGAUGUGAAAGCCUUCGGCUUAACCGGAGAAGUGCAUCGGAAACUGGAUAACUUAGAGUGCAGAAGAGGGUAGUGGAACUCCGAUGUGUAGCGGUGGAAUGCGUAGAUAUAUGGAAGAACACCAGUGGCGAAGGCGGCUACCUCGGUCUGCAACUGACGCUGAGACUCGAAAGCAUGGGUAGCGAACAGGAUUAGAUACCCUGGUAG